rnacentral:lncRNA from 1 species
UUUCUUCAAAACAUAUGGAUAGUUUUGGCUACUUUUCCAAAUAAUUCAUUUCUAAUUAAAACCCAAACACACUCCUAUUUUUUUCAUCUCCUUCUGCUCUACCGCUUACUUUUCCUCUUUGGAAAGGAAAAGACUCAAAAAUUCUAAAAUCUCAAGCUUAGCAGACUCAAAUUUCGUAAUUCAGCUGUAAGUUGCUAUUUCAUAUUUUUGUUUGAAUUUUACUCUUUUGCCUUUUAUAGAAUAUAGUAGCUCAUACAUCAAUAUCAGGUUAUGUAUAUCGUCUAGUAUUUUUUUUUUCUCUGGGUUUAUAUCGUUUAUUCAUUGUAUAAGCAACAACUUUAGCUGUGGGUAUUGUUCUUCUCCUUUUCUUUGAAUUUUAGAGUAGUAAUUUUAGGGAUCUUCUUCUGUUUCUUCUUUUUUUGCGAUCUCUCUACAAGAAUAAAGGGAAUUUCUCUCUUUUCUAGGCAAUCCUUUUUCAAGAGUAAAGAGAGUUUUUUUUUUGGGUGGGCUAAUCCUCUGUAUAAUUCUGGUAGUUGAUAUUUGUCAAAUUUUUAGCUUUGUUCAUCAGCUUAAUUAUAAUAUGAAUAUAUUUUAGAUAAUUAAGCAAAAAGCUUAUUAGAAGGUUAUGCUGUAAUCCUCAUGUUCCACUUUUAUGUGCUUAAAUUUGACUGCUUUGUCCAUUAUUUGAGCUAAACUUCAAUUGGAAAAUCAACAACUGUUUAAAUAAUUUCUUGUUACACUUAAAAUGAUAUCAAAAUUAUGGGCUAAAUAUGCUUGAAUUGAUUUAAAGAUGGCUUCUAGUAUUAGAAUUCUCCCCCGAGGCUUUGUCUAGUGGUAAGAGUGCUAACUCGUGAUGUGUGGGUUAGACACACGUCACGGGUUCAAAUCCGACAGUAGAUAAAAGCCUAAUAUUUAAGUGGAGAAGGGCUCGUUACCCACUGAGUUUAAAACCGUGUGCCACUAGCCGAUAGAGAUUUCUCGGUUAUAAAAAUAAAAUUGGAUUAGAAUGUGGUGAGUUAAACCUCAGGUCAAGGCAUGGGAAUUUCUCAAUGCUGAACUAUGCAUGGAAUUUAUUGGUUCAGAAAUUACUCAUUUUUAUUAUACGAUGUGUGUAUAUAGGGAGGCUUAUGAUCAUGUUGUUGUUUAGUUGCAUGUUUAUUUACGAGGAAUUGAUUAGUAGAGUAAAGAUGGACCUUUCAGGGAUAUUGACAUGAUAAACGCUCAAUUGGGGUAGAGUAUUACCUAGCCUUCCUUCCUCAAUUAAUGAGAUAAAUUAGCGGCUAAUUCCUUUUCCUAUUUGCCAGCAUUACUAAAUGAGCUGAAUGCUGAUCACAUGGUAAAUUAUUAAGGUUGAAGUCCUUUAUUUGUUCGCGAAAAGCAGGUAUUUAUUAAAGGUCUAGCAGAGGGGAUAACUCAAAAAACAUAAGGCAGAAGCCAUCAGCUUGAAAGAACGAACUACACAUGGAAAAGAGUAAGCACUAGUCUACCUAUAUCUAACUCGCUAUCUCAUUUUUCAGAUUUCAGACAGAGUUUUUAAUGUGAUUACAAUGAUUGUCGUAUAUGUUUGUUCGUUGGUGACAUAUUCUGAGAUCAAGAUAGUCAAGAAAUCGUUACUGAGCGAUGAAAUGUUCCUGGAUUGAAUUUUGUACAGUUGUUUGCAAUUUUGCGUCAUGAUUGUUUUUUAGGAUAUGUACGUUUUAAGGAAAAUUUUGUAUUUACCGUCCAAAUUCUUGUGAACAUAGAAUUUCACGGUGAAGGAUAUUUUGUAGUCAUAAUUAAUUGGGCAUCUGGGUCUGGCAGGUGCUACUCUUGAAAGCGGAGAGGGCAGAAAUAGCGUUGAACUCGUGAAAUCGGUCUCUGACAAACAGCUUGACCUUUUGAGGCCAUCAGCUCGGUAUUAUUCAGUAUCUAAAGGUAACCAUUUUCUAUACCUUUCUCGGCCUUUUGCCUAAGAUCAAAUUUAGUAUCUGUUUUUAUGGGUUAAAGGUAACCAUUUUCUUUACCUUUUGGGAGAACAUGACUAUUUUAGCUUCUUUUAUCCAAGAGGCAGCAUUUGCGUUUAGCUCACAGAUUGAGUGCUCAUUUUCUAAAUGCAUGACCCGUAUGUUAGGAUCAUUUUCUUAUAAAAUUUUGCCGUGGAGUGAAACUUAUUUAUUCUAGAUUCGGAAAUAAGAACAACAAAAAGGUAUUGAUGCUGUUUUCUCACACUCCCCAGCAAAUAAAUGCGGAAAUGCUUUAGGACAUUUUGAUGGACGUUAGAAUACAUCUUAAUCUUUUCCUGUCACAAGUUUUAUCUUCAUUCAGUUACUUCUUAGAGGCCUUUUAUGUUUCUUUCUUAGUGUAAGGAUAAAAUAUUUUGAUACAUGUUUCAUAAGAAAACUAUUCUGAUACAUGUUUUCCCCUGCUUAAGCUUUUAAGUUUUUUGUUCCGUCUCUCUCUCUCUCUCUCUCUCUCUCUCUCUCUCUCUAUGUGUGUGUGUGUGCGCGCGUCCAUUAGUAUUGUUCAUAGGUUUACUUUCCCAUUUGUUUGGGCUGUGGGACGGCGUAGAAUCUUUUCCAACUGUCCUUAAUUCUGUGGUAUCUGUUGUAAACAAUGAAGGCAUCUAUUAUUGUAAAUUCCCUUCAACUUUAUUCAGUCUUCGUUACAUCUACCAAUUAUCUGUCCGCACUGGUCACAAAAAGAUGAAGUGAGAAAAGCAAACCGAAAUUCUGAGUUGGAUACUUGUGAUUAUAGGACAAAGAGGUGAUGCAGAAGAUCGUGAUAAGGGAAAGUAUACAUUGAUUAGAGAUGUAGAGGACCUUCAAACAGGGUUCUAUGAGCCGUGGAAACAGCCUCUUGCAGAAGUGCAGGGUAAGGCUACGUCCAAUAUACCCUUGUGGUCCAGCCCUUCCCGGGACCCCGCGCAUAGCAAGAGCUUAGUGCACCGGGCUGUCUUUUUUCUGGUUUUCUGUGACAAUUCAAAAGUCGUUUGCUUCUUUUUAUAUUAUUUAACAGUGUUAACAGUCCUAACAACGUUUAGAAUUUACAUUCUUAUGCAGGCGAUGGCGUGUUCUGUUGUGUUGCUAAUAAUCAUAGCAGUAAAACUCUUCUUGUAGCUUCCGUUAUGCUAGCUCCAUACGAGCUGUAUCUAUUGUGACCAAGAUGUCAGAAUUUGCUGUUGCUUGUUUUGUAGUCAAGUGAAAAGACACAUCUCGAGUCUAAAUUCUCCAAUUGUAAAUGCUCUACGAGAAGAAAAAACAUCUUAUACAGAACUAUAUACGUGAAAAUGUAUACCUGCUUAGGUAUUCCAUCAAGAUUAUUAUUGAAAUUCCUCUUGUUUGUAUACAUGUUUUUCCAUGUUAAGAGUGCAACAAUAAUAUUAUGGAUUUAUGUGCAGGACAAGUUAAACAGACUUCUAAUUGUGUCUGUUUUUUAGAAAAGAAAGAGGUUAUCCAUA